AUCACUCAACUGGGGCAGAAGUGUGCUGGCUCCAAUGUUGAAGAGGAAGCAUCCUAGGACACUUCCACACCAGUUGGGGGCAGAACCUCUACCAGAAGUUGAGUGUGCUGGGUUGCAUGCCAUAUGAUCUUCAACUGGCUGGAGUCCUGGAAAGAAACUCCAGCAGAUACCAAAGGCCCACUGCAUACCAGGCAUUUGGAAAGGAGGAGUUGAGCUAAAUAUACUUGCCUCAACCAAAGGAGUAAGAAAUACAAGAACCUAACUCAGAUACAGGCAUUGGAUGUGAUUCUUCUCUUACUUUAUCCUUACAUCCAAGAACAAAGAAUGCAAAAGAUUUUCUCAUGGGUGACAUUAUAAGAGCUUCUCCACUUGCAAUAAUUUUUGUUUUGCAUUAUUUCAUUUUUUUAUGCAAACAACAUUAUUUUAGACAAGGUCUCCACAGCAAACAAUAACAUUUCCACAAAAGACAUUAUGCAAGAUAACUAUGGAUUUGUGUGGGUGUCCACACACAUACAGAUGCACACACUUUUUAUUUAUUUAUUGUUUUAAUUAAUGUAUUUUUAUUAAGGAUAUAUGGGUAGAUAAAGGGGAAAGGGUUUUGGUAAAAAGGGGAAAGAGGGAAUUUUUUUUACAAGUAAUGUGGGAGAACAAUAUUGUGAAAAGUAGGAAAUUUAUGCAAGAAUUGUGAGAGAGAAAAAGAAAAAAGAAAAAAGUCCUAGUAAGACUUCCUUCUAGACUUUUGUGAUUUUGUCUUUGUCUCUCUAUAUAAAAUCCAUUUUGAGGGUAAAGAAAGAAAUUCUUAAAAACCAAAUACAGAGGUGGAACAACUGUUCAUAAUUCUUAAUUUGAGAAAGGAAACUUGUCCAUUUUAAUGUUUCGUUCAUUUUCCCUUUUUUUUCCCCGUAGUCCUCUAUUUUGAACCAGUCUGUGUGCUUAAUUGGAUUUCCCGAGUUUUUCUUUAAUAAAAAUGUUAAUUUGUCCAUGUCUUUAAUCUCUCU